UACAGAAACCUUCUUCCUAAUGUAAAGAGAGAAUGAGAUCGAGUUCUUAACAUACACCAUGAGCCAAGGCAUUAACAUUGAUCAUAUAAAGCAUGACUUUCUUAGUGCGAGAGAGAUAAUUAACUUCGUGUGGUUCUAUACUCGAAGAUAGGGGUCGUCGAAGAUCAUGUAUGCUACCGGAACGUUUUGGUAAAAAUAUAGUUUGAUCAGCAAUCGUCGUAAUUGGCUAUGGCCUUGUGGAAAAAUAAGUCUCGUACGCAUUAAGAGCAUUAACAUGUAUGCUUAUGAUCUAUGGGGGUUGCGUACUUGGAUCUCAAGUUAAAAGGGAAAUCAAGAUGAUCAAAGCGAAAAAGUCCUACUUAAAAAAUUCAACCCAGUGGUUAUAGUUUUCGUCUUUG
rnacentral:lncRNA from 1 species